rnacentral:rRNA from 1 species
UACGUAGGGUGCGAGCGUUGUCCGGAAUUACUGGGCGUAAAGAGCUCGUAGGCGGUUUGUCGCGUCGUCCGUGAAAACUUGGGGCUCAACCCCAAGCUUGCGGGCGAUACGGGCAGACUUGAGUACUGCAGGGGAGACUGGAAUUCCUGGUGUAGCGGUGAAAUGCGCAGAUAUCAGGAGGAACACCGGUGGCGAAGGCGGUUCUCUGGGCCUUACCUGACGCUGAGGAGCGAAAGCAUGGGGAGCGAACAGG